rnacentral:rRNA from 1 species
AGGGUUGCUGGAGGUAUCAGAAGUGCGAAUGCUGACAUAAGUAACGAUAAAGCGGGUGAAAAGCCCGCUCGCCGGAAGACCAAGGGUUCCUGUCCAACGUUAAUCGGGGCAGGGUGAGUCGACCCCUAAGGCGAGGCCGAAAGGCGUAGUCGAUGGGAAACGGGUUAAUAUUCCCGUACUUGGUGUUACUGCGAAGGGGGGACGGAGAAGGCUAUGUUGGCCGGGCGACGGUUGUCCCGGUUUAAGCGUGUAGGUGUGUGUUCCAGGUAAAUCCGGUUCACUUUAACACUGAGGCGUGAUGACGAGGCACUACGGUGCUGAAGCAACAAAUGCCCUGCUUCCAGGAAAAGCCUCUAAGCAUCAGGUAACAUCAAAUCGUACCCCAAACCGACACAGGUGGUCAGGUAGAGAAUACCAAGGCGCUUGAGAGAACUCGGGUGAAGGAACUAGGCAAAAUGGUGCCGUAACUUCGGGAGAAGGCACGCUGACAC